rnacentral:rRNA from 1 species
UACGAGGGGGGGCAAAUGUUGUUCGGAAUCACUGGGCGUAAAGGGAGCGUAGGCGGGUUCUUAAGUUAGGUGUUUAAUCCCGGGGCCCAACCCCGGACCGGCACUAAACAUGGAAUCGUUGAAUAGUGGAGAGGUCGGUGGAAUUGGGGGUGUAGCGGUGGAAUGCGUAGAGAUCCCCAAGAACACCAGUUGCGAAGGCGGCCGACUGGACACAUAUUGACGCUGAGGCUCGAAAGCAUGGGGAGCAAACAGGAUAGAUGACC